CGAACGUCCAAUACAGACCAUCGCCAUCCAUCGAACUCUACAUCGCAGCGAGCUGAGAAAGAAAAAACCGUGUGGCCUCUGCAUUCAAGUGAGCCCUUCCCUCCCCCCCUUUAUACGGACAGGCUUGUGCUGCUUUCGCUUGUCUGCUUUCUUUGUUUUUUUUUUUCAUCUGCGCAUCUGCACGUAGAUCGCUAUACACGCGCACACACACGUGAGACGCACACCAGUCUCGGUACCGGCAAAGGAGUCGGAAAAAAAAAGGAAGCCGUAAACACACGCACGCACACACACACACAUACAUACACACACGCGCGUGGUACAGUUCUGGUACUGGAGUCGUGCGGCAUUCGUCCUGUAGGUGUCUCCUUUUGUUUUGCUUAUUUUUGUUUGCUUGGUUGCAUUCGACUUCUAUUACAAUGUCACACAACGAACAGGUCGUGCAUCAUCAGCAGGCGGCUUGCGUGAAGAAGCUGCGCUUCGACGACUCCGUCUGCACUGCGAUGAGUGGCAGCUCCGAAACAUGGUUGACUGGCGCCGAUAGCAGCGCGCGCUCGGCCCUCAAAACCUCCCCCACCGGCAGCAACCCUUCAUACCGUGCUUCCUCUCUGCGGCGUCCGUCAGAGGCGGCAAGCGCGCACAGUGACGCCCACGUGCAACUCAACCCGAAAGCGGAGGUAAUCGAGCACGACGGCAGCAUCACUACUGUCAAUGCUACAACCAUGGAAGUUUCCCGCUCGUUCGAGCCAGUGGAGGAGUCUGCCGGCGAGGUGGCGAACUUCCUGGCUGACGUGGGUACUGGCGUCGCAGCGGCUGCCAACAUGAGCGCGACAUCUUUGGGUGCGUCGCUCGGAACCUCGCUGAGGACUCCUACGGAUAUGAUGGCGGCAAGUGCUGCCUCAGCUUCGCAGACCACCAGUGAUGACCCAAGCGAGCGGUUUCGUUCCCUCUUGCUGCAGCUCUCCAGCCUCACCUUGGAGCAUCGGCCAAAGGAUCCGGAACAGUACAUAAUCGACCACCUGAACGCACGACUGCUGUCGAGCACCGCGUCCGCCCGUGCCUCACUAGCGGGUUGCACAACGACUGCCGAAGAAGAUGGAGAGUCGACAGGUGCCACGGAGACCACGGCAACCGCUGGGGGACCGGGUGCGACCCUCCCAGCUUGCAGCAGGGAGACUAGCACCACGGCGUUUUUUACGCCGCACGGUGACACCGUGGUAGAGCGCCUGGCCAGCAACGCUCUAUUGAGCGAAGUUGGUCGCGCGGUGAUGACGCGCUUGGCGGAGCUGCUCAUAAGUGCUCAGCCUGAAGACCCCGAGGACUUCCUAUGGGCUCGUCUGGAGGCACGCAGCUUCGGCGAAGACGCCACCCACAGCGUUGUGUUCUCCGCCGACGGCUACCCAGUCGUGCGCCCCGAGGACCCGACCCAAGUGAGCCUGCUCAAGGAUAUUCCGGCGACUUCCCCAGGGUAUGUGGUGGCAACUGGUCUGUUGCCGUUGCUCUUUGCGAAAAAGCCGGUGGACCCAAUCAGCUACCUUUUCUAUCACAUUGGCAGCCGCGCACGCUCCAGCGCCGCCCAGUCGGCGCACUCCUCCACACGGCACCUGCGCUUCGGUGAAGAAGACGAAGGGUUUGAUGCCGAGAGCUGCACCUCCCGAGAGCUCGAUGAUGACAGCAACUACGCCGCCGACGACGCCGCCGAGGUGGGCAGCAUCGGCGGCUCGAUCUCGAUGGUCCCUCUGCAGCGGAAAGGCUCUUUGGGCAGUCUAUUCGACAACGCGGCUGCCGCGCAGUUGCAGCGCCGCCGCUCGGAUCGGUCAGACAACACGCGACAGCGCCUGUCCCAGAGCACGGCAGUGCCUCGCAGCAGCAGCAUGCGGCGCAGCGGGGCAGGUGCUACGCGCGCGUCGCGGGACACAAGCGCUGCGCAGUCCCUUCCGCAAGAGCUCGCCGCCCUCGGCGGGGCUGGCUCAUCGUUGAAGCGGGUUAGUGUUACACAGCAUGAGGGAAAGUCCUGUUCGCCGAUGCGCAUCUUCCAUGAAAGCAGCCCCGUGACGGUGGCGGAUAUUGGCAGCAGCUCCACGCGAACUUUUCGCAUUCCCUCCCUCACUGCUAGCCCCAACACGCUGCACAACAUCGAGUCUGAUGAGCAUGCGCGCGUGCGGAACGAAUUCGGGAUACUGCGCCUGCGUGAGGAGCUGAGGCUCGAGCGGCUACAGCACGAAGUCCGCAUCCUCACGCGCGAGUGCGAGUAUCGCAACCACAUGGCGCUAUUGAACAGGACUGACCGCAUGGCCGAUCGUGCCGCAGCCACGGCGCAGGAAGCCCUCGAGGAGGCACAGAAGUACCGUGCCUUCCUGUGCACUCAGAUCGAUCAACUGGAGGUGGAGAAGCAGCGGCAACUACGACUGAUCUCGCAGCACAUGGCCCAGUCGUCGCCCGCGCUCUCUGCGGCGGUGGAUCCCCGGAUUGCAUCGCCGAUAUCAGGACACUGCCUUGGCGCUGAGUCAUCGUUGCUGUACGCGGAGCCGCAAGUGCCCAGUGAGCUGGAUAUCUUGAAGAAGCAGGUAGAGCUUCUCGCGAUGGAGCAGGCACGUGCGCGGAGUAUAGGGUAUGGCGUGGCGCCCAGCUACGCGGCAGCCGCUCCUCACACAACCCGGUUCUCCGUCUCUGCGGCUGGAGUCAGCGGGGCGGCGCGGGCGUCGUUCGCAAAAUAAGCCACUCUGCUUUCUCCCCGCCGUCGCACUCGAGCGAAAUCUCGCGAAGACGACGACGACAAGCUCGUACACGCGGAGCGUUGCGGGGCAAUGAGGCUUAAUCACCUGUGUGGUCGCCGGUCACAGGGUUUCUCAGCGGGGUAUUUUGUGUUUGGAGAAUGUGUUCGUGGUUGACCAAACGGGCAAUGUCCUUUCCUUCUUCACGGCCAAUACGCGCGCUGGGGGCGCGUGCACGUGAGCGACGGCGAAGCGCGAAGAGAGAAACGGGCGAGUAGUGUGUAGAGCGAGAGAAAGAGUCAAACAUUAUUGGGCCAACGUGACUCUACUACCACUACAAGCACACCAACAAUAUAUAUAUAUGUGUGUAUUUCUACGCAUGCAACCACAGCUCGCUUACCUCUGCUGCACGGCGGCUAUGUUAAGGAACCGGCCCAACCAGCGCCGCUUGGUGCCGCGCAGCCCAUUGCAGUGCUACCGCGUACAGCGCAGGCCAGGCCAAAGACCACGCUCAGCAUUACCGCAACGCAGCUAAGGCAAAAAAGCAGGGGGUGGAUGCAUAUGUUUGGCGAAUCGACGACACGACUCGUAGCAAGCUGGCCCAAUCGUAGCGGCCAUGACCGCAUGCCUCUUCGGCGCAGCGCCAGCCCAGACCUGUCCGCCGACGCCAAGAGUCCGCCAGCUGUACCCGAGUGCAGGCGCUAGGCUCUCCGCUUCCCCACAAAGACGACGAGAGAAGGAACAUACAAAAGCAAUCAUAGGGCGCCCCGUCUUGUUUCGGUUGCCGUCCAAACACACUGCGGCGUCGCUCUUAUCCUUUUUUUCCCGCCCCCCCCCCCUCCUCCUUCUCCUCCUACCUCCUCCUCUUUCUCGUAGUUGAUCGAGACUGUAUCUUCUUUCUCCGUUGAUUGCCAUGCCCUCGGUGCUCCCUCCCAGCGUGGUGUAUUAGUGGGAAGGGAGGGGGUAUUGUUUUACUCCACCGGCGGUUGCUCUGUUGUUGCCAGCGCUUCGGCACACUGCGGCACGCAGGCGCGAAAAAAAAAGUUGAUGGGUCUCUGUGGGCGUUUGCACGUGGGCGGUGUGGCGUUUUGUGUUUGUGUGCUUAGACUUUUGCCGCUUUCAUCUCCCUUUUGUGUUUUAUUCUUUGAGUGAGGGCGCACAUCUGCAUCAGCCACAACAAAGAGCGACUACUCAAGUACCCGCGUGCCGAGAAGCAAGCAGGCCACGACCGCAUGUUUCUUUCGACAUGGAAGCUCAGUUGGCGGGUACCGGUGGCUCAGCAGACGGUCGGGACACUCAACUGAUGCUGGCGCAUUAUCCUGUCUUCAUGUACGCAUGUCCCUUCUCCUCACUAUGAUGCCUGCCUUCUACAAUUGUCCGCUUCUGGGCAACAUGUUCGUGCCUUUCUCGUCUCGUACACCGAAAG
rnacentral:misc_RNA from 1 species